UGUAAACAUCGUACACUCUCAGCU
rnacentral:piRNA from 5 species